CCCAGGUCCCAGUCAACACUCAGUCACUCAUUCCUCACUCCUUUCUCUCUCUCUCUCUUCCUCACGCACUCACUCUCUCACGGUCUCAACUCUCACCUUCACGAUCCAGAGUUCCAGACCACCACCGGCCACCAGCCCACCACCACGGUACCACCACUACACCAGGCCCCAGCCACCACCACGGCACCACUCAUUGAUUCACGGUUCGACUGUUUCAGUGUUCACUCUUUUCUCUCUCUCUCUCUCAACGCUGCAACCCACCAGGCGGCAGCCACAGCCCACCAACGCCACCAGUCCACCACCACCGCCCACCGGCGGCUGCCCAACGCACCACCACACUCUCUCUCUGCUGCUGUUGAAGACUUGAAGCUUGAAGUGAAAUUAGACUGGGAAAUAAGCUUGUUGUCUUGGUUUGAGAUUGGAAAUUUGGAAUGUGAAGGGAAAUGAAUUCAUCCAUCAGAUGAUCAGAACCCAACUCCCUCUUUCCCAUCACCAGUCAACUCAACACUCUUUGCUCUGCUGAACGCGGGAUGGACUAAUAGGCUUGUCUAUUUAAUCUUUGAGGGAAGAAAAAGCUCUGAUAACACCAGAUUUUUGUUCCACCAGAUUUUGAACCCCCUGACCCCGGGUCCUGGAUCCGCCACUGAGUAUAGAGUAUACCUAUUAAGCAUAAACGAGAGUUGUAUUAUUUUCUGCAGGUGCCUCCUCCACCUAAAUAUUCAGUGACCACCAUGGUCAUCAUCACAUUUGCCACUUUGCUCUAUGCCAAGCAUUGCCACGCUCAAUUGGAGCACCAGACCACUCUACUCAAAUUUUGAAAGAACAUUUUAUUAUUUUGUUCAAUUUUUUUCUCCAUUGCUCUUCUCAAUCAAACAAAAGGUAGGUUUACCUUCA